GACGAACGCUGGCGGCGUGCUUAACACAUGCAAGUCGAACGGUAAGGCCCUUCGGGGUACACGAGUGGCGAACGGGUGAGUAACACGUGGGUGAUCUGCCCUGCACUUCGGGAUAAGCCUGGGAAACUGGGUCUAAUACCGGAUAGGACCACUGCCUGCAUGGGUGGUGGUGGAAAGCUUUUGCGGUGUGGGAUGGGCCCGCGGCCUAUCAGCUUGUUGGUGGGGUGAUGGCCUACCAAGGCGACGACGGGUAGCCGGCCUGAGAGGGUGACCGGCCAGACUGGGACUGAGAUACGGCCCAGACUCCUACGGGAGGCAGCAGUGGGGAAUAUUGCACAAUGGGCGCAAGCCUGAUGCAGCGACGCCGCGUGAGGGAUGACGGCCUUCGGGUUGUAACCUCUUUCAGCACCGACGAAGCGCAAGUGACGGUAGGUGCAGAAGAAGGACCGGCCAACUACGUGCCAGCCGCCGCGGUAA
rnacentral:rRNA from 1 species